rnacentral:rRNA from 1 species
UACGUAGGGGGCAAGCGUUGUCCGGAUUUAUUGGGCGUAAGGAGCGUGUAGGCGGCCAUGUAGGUCCGUUGUGAAAACUCGAGGCUCAACCUCGAGACGCCGAUGGAAACCAUGUGGCUAGAGUCCGGAAGAGGAGAGUGGAAUUCCUGGUGUAGCGGUGAAAUGCGCAGAUAUCAGGAAGAACACCCGUGGCUAAGGCGGCUCUCUGGGACGGUACUGACGCUGAGACGCGAAAGCGUGGGGAGCAAACAGG